AACGAACGCUGGCGGCAUGCCUAACACAUGCAAGUCGAACGAGACCUUCGGGUCUAGUGGCGCACGGGUGCGUAACGCGUGGGAACCUGCCCUUAGGUUCGGAAUAACUCCCCGAAAGGGGUGCUAAUACCGGAUAAUGUCUUCGGACCAAAGAUUUAUCGCCUUUGGAUGGGCCCGCGUUGGCUUAGCUAGUUGGUAGGGUAAAAGCCUACCAAGGCGACGAUCCAUAGCUGGUCUGAGAGGAUGAUCAGCCACACUGGGACUGAGACACGGCCCAGACUCCUACGGGAGGCAGCAGUGGGGGAUAUUGGACAAUGGGCGAAAGCCUGAUCCAGCAAUGCCGCGUGAGUGAUGAAGGCCGUAGGGUUGUAAAGCUCUUUUACCCGGGAUGAUAAUGACAGUACCGGGAGAAUAAGCUCCGGCUAACUCCGUG
rnacentral:rRNA from 1 species